rnacentral:rRNA from 1 species
GACGAACGCUGGCGGCGUGCUUAACACAUGCAAGUCGAACGGAAAGGCCCCUUUGGGGGUACUCGAGUGGCGAACGGGUGAGUAACACGUGAGUAACCUGCCCUUGACUUCGGGAUAACUUCAGGAAACUGGGGCUAAUACCGGAUAGGAAUCCUUGCUGCAUGGUGGGGGUUGGAAAGCUUCGGCGGUUUUGGAUGGACUCGCGGCUUAUCAGCUUGUUGGUGGGGUAGUGGCUUACCAAGGCUUUGACGGGUAGCCGGCCUGAGAGGGCGACCGGCCACAUUGGGACUGAGAUACGGCCCAGACUCCUACGGGAGGCAGCAGUGGGGAAUAUUGCACAAUGGGCGGAAGCCUGAUGCAGCAACGCCGCGUGCGGGAUGACGGCCUUCGGGUUGUAAACCGCUUUCAGCAGGGGCGAAGCUUGUGGUGACGGUACCUGCAGAAGAAGCACCGGCUAACUA